rnacentral:rRNA from 1 species
UACGUAGGGACGCAGCGUUGUCCGGAAUCAUUGGGCGUAAAGAGCGUGUAGGCGGCCUUAAUUACGUCUGCGUGAAAUCCUGCGGCUCAACCGCAGACGGUCGUGGGAAACUGGAAGGCUAGAGUGCGGGAGAGGAGAGUGGAAUUCCCGGUGUAGCGGUGAAAUGCGCAGAUAUCGGGAAGAACACCCGUGGCGAAGGCGGCUCUCUGGAACGCAACUGACGCUGAGACGCGAAAGCGUGGGGAGCAAACAGG